rnacentral:tRNA from 1 species
GGAAUGUGGCCCAAGCGGUAACGCGCUCGCCUGGCAUACGCGAGGCGCUGGGUUCGAUCCUCAGCACCA